AGUUGAAUGCGUAUAAAAUUGGUUGGAGAGGUAAACUUAGACGGCAUAGAAUCUGCAGGCGAGUGGAGUAGAGAAGAGAGAGGAGGAUAGGAGGUGAUGUGUUGUAGUGGCAGGCUGUUAAGUGUGGGCGUCUGGGCAAAAGAUGGCUGCUGCUUUUGCUUGCCUUUCUCUUGCCUGAACCGCCCAUACCUGACGUCCUCCCUACGCAUCACCUCCCUUUCCAAUAACCUCUGCCUUCUCACGGCUAUUUUUCUUUAUAGAUGGUACGUUCAUGAACACUGAUCUAAACAAAUAGAUAGAAUUUCAAAGGCCUUUACGUCUAAGAAAAUCGAAAAUCGUCUUCAGAAGAAUUGUUAAAUAAGCUAUUUCCUUUGCCAGCCACAUGUCGCCAGGAAAAAGAUCACUUCUUGUAUUUAUAUUCAUUACUCAAUAAUGAAAGGUUCAGAGAGUCGUUUAGCAAUAUAAAUAAGUGGAAGUGACUAAGGGAUCAUUUAACAAGUGUAAGUUGUUAAUGAGAUGUUGCUGGUGUAUAUAAGCUAUUUUCUUUGCCAGUCAAAUGCUGUCAGGAAAAAGAUCACUUGUAUUUACAUUCAUUACUCAAUAACAAAAGGAUUGGAGAGUUGUUUAACAAUAGAAAUAAGUGGAAGUGUCAAAGUAUCAUUUGACAAGUGUAAGUCAUCCUUGCCAGGAAAAGGAUCACUUGUAUUUGCAUUCAUUACCCAAUACUGAAAGGUUUGGAGAGUCGUUUAGCAAAAGAAAUAAAGAAAUAAGUGGAACUGGCAAAGUAUCAUUUGAUUUGACAAGUGUAAGUUGUCAACGAGAUGUGAGAUGUUGCUGGUGUAAAUGAGUUAUUUCUUUUGCCAGUCAAAUGUUGCCAGCAAGAAGAUCACUUGUAUUUACAUUCAUUACCCAAUACAGAAAGGUUUGGAAAGUUGUUUAGUAAUUGAAAUAAGUGAAAGUGGCAAAGGGAUCAUUUGAUAAGUGUAAGUUGUUAAUGAGAUGUUGCUGGUGUGUUUCUAUUUUGGUUUACUAUUUUGAAAUUGUUAAAUAAGUUAUAUCCUUUUCCAGCCCAAUGUAGCCAGGAAAAGAUCACUUCUUAUAUUUAUGUUCAUUACCCAAUAAUAAAAGGUUCAGAGAGUUAUUUAGUGACAAAAAUAAAUGGGAAGUGGCAAAGGGGUCAUCAUUUGAGAAUUGUAAUCGUUAUUGAGAUGCUGCUGGUGUCUUUCCAUUUAGGUUUCCUGUUAUGAAUAUUGUUGGUCUAAAGAAAUGAAUUAAGGAAUGAAAUAUUUUUAGUUUA